AGAAAAUAGUCCCCUUCCUUGUGGUGGUGACAGACUUGCGAGUGGCCCUGGGGUUCCCAUCUACUCCACUUGAACGUGGGUGGGACCUGUGACUUGCUUCUAACCAAUAGAAUAGGGCAAAGGUGAUGGGAUGUCCCUCUGUGAUUACAUUAGGUUAUAUAAGGCUUCACCCUGUUAGUGGACUUGCUAUAGAUACUCUCCCUGCUAACUUAAUAAAGCCAACAGCCAUGUUGGAAAAGCUCAUAUGGCCAGGAACUAUGGGUGGCUUCUAGGAACUACAGAAAACCUCUAUGAACUGUGGGAGACUUCUAGGAACUGUGAGUGAACUUUAGGAGCUAAGUAAGGCCUCCAGACAGCAAGAAGUCAGGACCCUCAGUCCUACAGCUGUAAGAAAAUAUAUUCUGUCAACAACCUGAGUGAGCUUGGAAGUGGAUUCUUCCCCAGACAAGCCCCCAGAUGAGAAUGCAGUCCAGCUGACACCUUCAUUGCAGCUUGGUGAGACCCUGAACAGAGGAUUCAGCCAAGCCAUGCCAGACUCUUGAUCCACAGAAACCCAUUUUCUGCUUUGAACACGUAAUGCUUGGGGAUUUAAAGAGAAAGAAGAACAAACGUUAUGAAAAGUCAAGCAAGAAUGAUUUCACGUGAGUGUGCGCUAACCACCUGAGCCUCCCUGGCUCCUGCCACACCUGCUGAAGACAGGAUUAGGUCAUGUCCUCCCUCAGUGAAGAGGAGAACCUGCCAAGUUGGAGUGGCUGCUCUCCCAGGGGUAUCAGGCACAGGUAACUCAUUCCACCCACACCGCCAAGCUGAAAGCGUAUUGACGUUUGCACUUAUGGUGCAAAAGAAAAAGUGGAAAAACCUGCUGGUGCCGUAGCACAAAUCAAGGCAGUGCACCAAACAGCACUCGUGGUCCCUGCGUUCUUCCAGUGGAAAAAAAAAUGCCAUUUCACUUCAUCAUGUCUUUGAUGAAGCAGAAUAAUCAUUACCUUUGUUAAAGCUCAAGGCUUGAGCACGUAUCUUUUUAGAUUCUGCAUGAGGACAUGGGACGAUGACAUCAUUCACUUCUACACAUGUCCAAGUUCCUUGUUUGUCUCAAGGAAAGACACUGGCACAAACAACUGAGUUGCAAUCUGAUAUAAACUCUUUCUUCAUGGAUUACCAUUUGUACUUGGAAGAACAACUGAAAAGCUAUAAGCGUUCAGACGUGGAUAACUGGCAGACAUGGUCUCAAAAAUUAAUUAAGUGAACCUGUUACGUAAAGGCAAACAACUGACAGUGUUUGUCGCCAAUGGUAACAGUCAAGCUUUUGAGUGAAAACUAGAACUUUGGAAAACACAUGUUAUUUUUAACUUGCCAGCUUCCCAAUCCUUACAGACUUUUCUGAUGAGAUCUGUGGUGACAUUGAUGAAUGUGGUAUUUUGAUGUUAUCUAAAAAAUUUGUCAGUAUCUGACAAAUAAUUCAGAUUCAAUAUUUCCCUGAUCUACAUAAUUCAGGGAGCCAAUAUUUCUUAAAUGUCCAAAGCAUCAUGUUACAAAAUCAUGCACAGGUAAAACAUUGAUUCAAAGUGUAAAAUAGCCAAUGGAUUUUAAGGUAACAUAGUAUGAAAAUUUCACUGAUAUGGUUUCAGAUUUCAGAUUACAACUUUUAAAGAACCUGACAGUAAAGUAUUGACAGUAUCAAAAAACCUAUUGUGUACAUCUCCCUUUUCCAACUACAUAUCAGCAUGAGGCUAAAUUUUUUUCUUAUAUUGCAGGCAAAACCAUAUAUGGCAACACAGUGAAUACAGAAUUAUGAGAUUAUGAGAAUCUGUCUAUUAAGUCACAUAUUAAAAAGAUUUGCAAAAAUGCCGCUCUUCUCAGUAACUUGUUUUGGAAAAUGUGGUUAUUUAUCAUAAAAAGUGUUAAUUAUAUAACACUGUAAUUAGUUCAUGAUUGUUACAUUUAAAUAAAUUAGUAGGUAAAUGAUUUUUAAAUUUCUCAGUUGUAAUUUCUAGUACAGUAAAUAUUAGUAGAUAUAACCCACAUUUUAAAAUAUAAAAGCUCUCUGGGGCCCUCAAUCAUUUUUAAGAGUGCAAAAGUGUUCUGAAGCCAAAAUGUUUGAGAACCACUAUUAUAUCAGAACCUUCCCCAUUGCAAUGAGAUCCUGGAGGUAAGAGCA